rnacentral:lncRNA from 1 species
CCUAUCUAAAACACUGUUCACUGCCCCUGUCCCCACUCUCAUUCCAAAACCACAGGAAAAAGGAUGUUGACACCACAGAAGCAAUGAGCUGAACGUUGGGGCCAUUUCUGCAGGCUGGGGAUGAAAUCUGCCUGGAGAAGUUGCAAAAUUCCAUCCCUGCUCUCCUCACAGUGGGAUGUGGAUGUAAACUCUCCUCUUUCUCAGAGCAGCUUUUAAGGGUGUCUUUGGGGGAUAACAGGGACCAACAAGCAACUUGUGACCCAAGAGGGAAAUAGCAGCAGCAGCAACUGGACUCUUCUCCAGACCUUGUGAUAAUGGUUCUGUGUUCGACAGCUUCCUGAGAAAAACAGGAUUUCUGCAUGGAAGGAGGAUGAGUACUCUGACAAACACCUGAAUUCUGCAGCAGCAGAGAAUGUCACCAUGAAUGUCCAUUGGCAAACUGGAUAAGAAAGAGUGUCACAGUGCAGGACAACCUAGAAGAUGACAGAUACUCGCAGGUCUUCUAUUAUGCAGCAAUAUUAGCAAGUAUCCACUCUGGACUGCAGCAACAUCUGAAUUUUCAGUUCUUGAGAACUUUCCUGCAUCUUCACAAAAAAUGAACAGAGGAUAUUUAUAAGAACAAUCUUCCAAUUAGCCCCCCUCAACAGCCUGUGCCUGGAGCCUUGUCCAUUUUAAUAUAUGCAGCAAAAAGUGCAAACUGAAGCUUAUUCAUCUUUAUUUUCUGA